rnacentral:rRNA from 1 species
CCAAUAGCGUAUACUAAAGUUGUUGCAGUUAAAAAGCUCGUAGUUGAAUUUCGGGAUCAAUUAGUCGGUCGUGCCUCUGGUACGUACUGGUUUUAUUGGUUCCUCCCUUCUGACGAAACAUGAUGUCAUUAAUUUGGUGUCGUGGAGAAUCAGGACUGUUACCUUGAAAAAAUUAAAGUGUUUAUAGCAGGCUAACGCUUGAAUACAUUAGCAUGGAAUAAUGAAAUAGGACGUUCGACCCUAUUUUGUAGGUUUCUAGGAUCGACGUAAUGAUUAAUAGGGAUAGUUGGGGGCAUUAGUAUUCAAUUGUCAGAGGUGAAAUUCUUGGAUUUAUUGAAGACUAACUACUGCGAAAGCAUUUGCCAAGGAUGUUUUCAUUAAUCAAGAACGAAAGUUAGGGGAUCGAAGACGAUCAGAUACCGUCGUAGUCUUAACCAUAAACUAUGCCGACUAGGGAUCGGAUGAUGUUAAUUUUUUAAUGACUCAUUCGGCGCCUUACG